rnacentral:tRNA from 1 species
GGAUAGGUGUCCGAGUGGUCUAUGGAUCUAGUCUUGAAAACUAGCGUACGGCAACGUACCGUGGGUUCGAAUCCCACCCUGUCCGCCA